rnacentral:rRNA from 1 species
GAUGAACGCUGGCGGCGUGCCUAAUACAUGCAAGUCGAGCGAACAAACGAGGAGCUUGCUCCUCUGACGUUAGCGGCGGACGGGUGAGUAACACGUGGAUAACCUACCUAUAAGACUGGGAUAACUUCGGGAAACCGGAGCUAAUACCGGAUAAUAUAUUGAACCGCAUGGUUCAAUAGUGAAAGACGGUUUUGCUGUCACUUAUAGAUGGAUCCGCGCCGCAUUAGCUAGUUGGUAAGGUAACGGCUUACCAAGGCAACGAUGCGUAGCCGACCUGAGAGGGUGAUCGGCCACACUGGAACUGAGACACGGUCCAGACUCCUACGGGAGGCAGCAGUAGGGAAUCUUCCGCAAUAGGCGAAAGCCUGACGGAGCAACGCCGCGUGAGUGAUGAAGGUCUUCGGAUCGUAAAACUCUGUUAUUAGGGAAGAACAAAUGUGUAAGUAACUAUGCACGUCUUGACGGUACCUAAUCAGAAAGCCACGGCUAACUACGUG